AGCCUGUCAGAGCGGGGCCAGCCCGGAGCUCGCAACUCGCGGGGCGGCGCUGGCCGCGGCGGCCGCUGCCCGGGGACGGGAUCCGGAUCUAAGCCUCCAGUAAUCUCGCUGAGGCCCGAACCAGAGGCGGGCGGGGACAUCCGCGCCGACGCGGCAGCUGGCGCUGGGACGGCCCUCACUGGCGGUCUUCGGUCUCCGCCCCGACAUCCGGCCUCAGCCACGUGGUGGGCGGACCGGGGCGGUCCUGAGCCUGCGACCUCGCAGGCGACCUCGCUGGACCCUAAGUCCAGGCCACAGUCAGGGAAGGGCGCUGAGAGGCGAGCGUGAGCCCAGCGACAGGAGAGUGAGCUCACCACGCGCAGCGCCAUGACCAACAAGGGUCCCGAGGAGGAGCACCCAUCGGUGACGCUCUUCCGCCAGUACCUGCGCAUCCGCACCGUCCAGCCCAAGCCUGACUAUGGAGCUGCUGUGGCUUUCUUUGAGGAGACAGCCCGCCAGCUGGGCCUGGGCUGUCAGAAAGUGGAGGUGGCACCUGGCUACGUGGUGACCGUGUUGACCUGGCCAGGCACCAACCCUACACUCUCCUCCAUCUUGCUCAACUCCCACACGGAUGUGGUACCUGUCUUCAAGGAACAUUGGAGUCACGACCCCUUUGAGGCCUUCAAGGAUUCUGAGGGCUACAUCUAUGCCAGGGGUGCCCAGGACAUGAAGUGCGUCAGCAUCCAGUACCUGGAAGCUGUGAGGAGGCUGAAGGUGGAGGGCCACCGGUUCCCCAGAACCAUCCACAUGACCUUUGUGCCUGAUGAGGAGGUUGGGGGUCACCAAGGCAUGGAGCUGUUCGUGCAGCGGCCUGAGUUCCACGCCCUGAGGGCAGGCUUUGCCCUGGAUGAGGGCAUAGCCAAUCCCACUGAUGCCUUCACUGUCUUUUAUAGUGAGCGGAGUCCCUGGUGGGUGCGGGUUACCAGCACUGGGAGGCCAGGCCAUGCCUCGCGCUUCAUGGAGGACACAGCAGCAGAGAAGCUGCACAAGGUUGUGAGCUCCAUCCUGGCAUUCCGGGAGAAGGAAUGGCAGAGGCUGCAGUCAAACCCCCACCUGAAAGAGGGGUCUGUGACCUCCGUGAACCUGACUAAGCUAGAGGGUGGCGUGGCCUAUAACGUGAUACCUGCCACCAUGAGCGCCAGCUUUGACUUCCGUGUGGCACCGGAUGUGGACUUCAAGGCUUUUGAGGAGCAGCUGCAGAGCUGGUGCCAGGCAGCUGGCGAGGGGGUCACCUUAGAGUUUGCUCAGGCUGCAGUGCAGUGGCACAAUCUCGGCUCACCUCCGCCUCCCGGGUUCAAGCAAUUCUUGUGCCUCAGUCUCCAGAGUAGUUGGGAUUACAGGCACCUGCCACCACGCCCAGCUAAUUUUUGCAUUUUUAGUAGAGACAGUGUUUCACCAUGUUGGCCAGGCUUGUCUCGAACUCCUGGCCUCAAGUGAUCCACCCACCUUGGCCUCGCAAAGUGCUGGGAUUACAGGCAUGAGCCACUGCGCCCAGCCGUACUUUCAUAUAACCCAUGUGGUACAGGAAAGGGUGGCCCCUUGCACUCUGAAAACCUGUAACUGGAGUAUCCAACUAGUCUGAGAGGUCUGGGGGAGCCAUCUUGAGGAAGGGGCACUUGGGCUAGGAUCUCAAGGAUGGACAGGAGGUAAGUAGACGGAGGGUGGGAAGGUCCCAGACCUAGGACAUUUGAGGGGCUGAAAGAGGACCUGUGGCUGGACUGGCCACCCAGAUGUCUGGGUAGGUGAAGGAGUGGGGGUGGGGAGGUGUUAUGUGCUAGGCACAGCCCACUCUAUGGGAAGUAGGGCAAGAUGCCCAGGCCCGUGUCCUGAUCCUGCCAUUCUUCCCGUCCCUCAGAAGUGGAUGCACCCCCAAGUGACACCUACUGAUGACUCAAACCCUUGGUGGGCAGCUUUUAGCCGGGUCUGCAAGGAUAUGAACCUCACUCUGGAGCCUGAGAUCAUGCCUGCUGCCACUGACAACCGCUAUAUCCGCGCG